ACAGCUGCCAGGCGGAUUGUGUGCAUCUGGGGGUGGGACUGACAAUGAGCAACAAAUGUCUUCCUGUUUAAAACACGGUCUUCCGGCGUCAUUUGUUUGUAACGUGUUGCCGGCGUCGGAAGGCUGGAAUUGCUAGCGGUACAUCGGUCGUUGAGCGUGAAUCGCUUCAGACAAACUCUGGGUGGCAGCCAGUAGCGUUAGCAUUCAUCGCCAGCUGUGCAAGAGUAUGCCGAAAGCCUGUCCCCCCUCCUACCUCGGCUCACCUCUUGUGAUGACCGGUCAUUGACUUUUUAAGGUAGGCCUAUGUAUAUAUGUUGUCCGUGAUGUGCAAGUGUCACGGUGACUUAUUAUAGCGUGAUGGUUUAUUGAAGCCUUUUAAACUAAACGUUUUCCCCCUACAGGCCUUCGAAUUGUGGGCAAGGGGUUCUGACCACUGUUUUCUCCGUGUUUUGUUUGAGUUCUAGUAUCGUAGCCAGUCAUGUUUUUCUUUUAGUUUGGGGUUGUUGAUAUCGUGUCUGUGUGUGGGUGUGUGCGCGUGCGUCUUCGUACGGGCAGGCGCUUUGUCUGUUCUUUUUUGGUUUGUUUUGGGUUUUCUUAAUGUCUUAUAUAUUUUGCCCCGUGCUUCUCUCUUUGUCCAUCUACGGCCUGCGGCCUACUGAACUUCAUCUAAUCAGCCAAACCUGUGUAGUAGCCUGCUUUGUGUGAGCACCUGUUAGUGUGGGUUGACAAUUGCUGUGUAUCCUCGUGUGAUGAAAUUACUUCCUUAGAUAGAAGGGUGUGUAGUUCGAAGUAACCUUGUGUGACUUAUAGCUUAGUCCAUCACUUCCCAGCUUGAUUCUAUAGAGGUUGCGGUCUGACCUGAGAUGUAGUGGGUGGGUGUGGGCCCAUAUUACUUAAGAGUUGGGGGCAUUUGUGUCUGUUUAUGGUAUUUUUGUCUUUAUGUUGGCUGUGUGUAUUUUCCUUUGUUAUUGUUAUGUGUAUUCUGUACUCUCUCUCUUUUUAAAGAAAAAAACCAAGAAACUUUCUAAGAAAAUGAUAAGACAAGGACUACAAACAAAUAAACUAUUUAUUGACUGAGACAGCCUCUAUGUUCAUUUACUUGAAUAGCCUGCUCUGGUAGUUUAUAUAUGGCAAC